rnacentral:rRNA from 1 species
AUGCCUUGUGCUCGAGCUUGCUGGCGAUCAUUAACAAGUUUUCUCUGCCAUGACCCCUUCAACCUGGAGACUGCCAAGAAAUUUGCACCGGCUGCUAUUGUCUUCUACCUCGCCAUAUUUACAAACACAAACCUCCUUGUUCAUGCCAAUGUGGACACGUUCAUCGUUUUCAGAUCCUUGACUCCGCUUUUGGUUGCUAUUGCUGACACAACCUUCCGGAAGCAACCAUGCCCUUCCAAGCUCACAUUUUCAUCCCUUGUUAUCAUAUUGGGAGGAGCGGUUGGCUAUGUGAUAACAGAUUCUGCAUUCAGCCUCACAGCAUACUCUUGGGCGCUUGCCUAUCUGGUGACAAUAACAGCUGAGAUGGUGUACAUCAAGCAUAUUGUGACGAAUCUGGGUCUAAACACAUGGGGUUUUGUGCUGUAUAACAACCUUCUUUCCUUGAUGAUAUCCCCCAUCUUUUGGUUUUUGACAGGGGAGCACAAGUUGGUCUUCUCAGCAGUCGAAUCACGGGUUGAGGGUUGGUUCCAGCUUGAUGCCUUUGUCGCGGUGGCAUUGUCAUGCUUGUUUGGGUUACUCAUCAGCUUCUUUGGCUUUGCGGCUAGGAAAGCAAUCUCAGCCACGGCAUUCACGGUGACUGGGGUUGUGAACAAGUUCCUCACAGUGGCAAUCAAUGUGACAAUCUGGGACAAGCACGCCAGUGCAUUUGGUUUGGUUAGCCUGCUAUUCACUCUUGCUGGUGGAGUACUCUAUCAGCAAUCAGUUACUGCAAAAGGAAAUAUUGCAUCAGCUCAGCGUGAAACGGCAUCGGAGGAACUUAAGGACGAAAGUGACAGUGCUGAGUAUGAUGAGGAGAAACAGAAGCUUAUUUCAUCUUGA